rnacentral:rRNA from 1 species
AGCAGUAGCCGCGGUAAAACGUAGGUGGCGAGCGUUGUCCGGAAUUAUUGGGCGUAAAGGGAGCGCAGGCGGGCGAGUAAGUCUUUCUUAAAAGUGCGGGGCUCAACCCCGUGAGGGGAGAGAAACUACUCAUCUUGAGUGCAGGAGAGGAAAGCGGAAUUCCUAGUGUAGCGGUGAAAUGCGUAGAUAUUAGGAAGAACACCAGUGGCGAAGGCGGCUUUCUGGACUGUAACUGACGCUGAGGCUCGAAAGCCAGGGGAGCGAACGGGAUUAGAUACCCGCGUAGUCCCUGUCUCUUAUACA